rnacentral:rRNA from 1 species
AUUGAACGCUGGCGGCAGGCCUAACACAUGCAAGUCGAACGAGUGGCGGACGGGUGAGUAAUGUCUGGGAAACUGCCUGAUGGAGGGGGAUAACUACUGGAAACGGUAGCUAAUACCGCAUACCAUCAGAUGUGCCCAGAUGGGAGUAGCUUGUUGGUGGGGUAACGGCUCACAAAGGCGACGAUCCCUAGCUGGUCUGAGAGUAUGACCAGCCACACUGUACCGGAUACCCGGUCCAGACUCCUACGGUAGGCAGCAGUUGGGAAUAUUGCACAAUGGGAGCAAGCCUGAUGCAGCCAUGCCGCGUGUAUGAAGAAGGCCUUCGGGGUGUAAAGUACUUUCAGCGGGGAGGCGUUACCCGCCGAAGAAGCACCGGCUAAGUCCGUGCCAGCAGCCGCGGUAAUUC